CUCCUCUUGGAGUCUUUUUCUGUGAGCCCAGGACACAGUGACAACUGGCUUUGUGGCACUGGGUGGUGUGAGAAUAGGGAACAGUAUUUGGCUCAAACCUUGUUCAGAGGCAGCCAUCUGAUACAUGAGAAGCUGGAGAAUGCUUGGCUCAGAGCCUGUUCAACGGCAUCCAUCCAAGGCAUGACCUGACCAACAAGCUUUUGAAGUAAAUGGUUGACUACUGUGAGCACAGAGGUGAGAGGACAUGCAUUGUUCCUCCUGAUGAACAAAAUGUGGAUACCGUGGCAGCUACCAUCACCAUGAUGGACACGACAUGAUGACCCUGAUCACUGAGGUAGGCAGGCCUGAAGAGUUCUGAGGAAGAAUGGGUAAGUCAAUGAGAUGUUGCAUGACCAACCUGCUUCCUUGCCAUGGACCAGUAAGACACUGUUGGAUUCCCUGGUGGUGACUAUUCCUGCUCUGUAAACUGUUUGCUAGAAUUUCUGUCUUUACUAUUGCUAACUUCCCUAUCUUUCCUGAAUUCCUUGGUAGUUUAGAGCCUCUAAUGCUGAUUAUGCUCUGAUUCUAGACUUGCUGCUUGUUCAUAUUGGGAGGAAUCAUACAAUGGUGAAGAAAUUGUUAUUAAUAAUGUUUUUUAUAUAUGGGGAAAAUAGCAAGAUUCAUUUUGAUAAAUGAUAAUCAAUCAUCAAGUUGGGAUAGUAAGGUAGUUUACUACUAGAGGUAUUUUGUGGUCUGGUUUGAAAACUCAAGAGGGUAAAAAGGAAGAGGGGGAAUUGUAAGAGGUUGCCUUUUUGCAGUGGCAAUUUCCAGUAUUCUGUAUGUAGCAUAAGGUAAGCUGUCUUUCACAAAGAAAGCUGCUGAGCACAGUAAAGCUGAGACUGGGGUGUUCUGGCAUAGGUAAAAUUGGCACAGGCACUAGGUAAGGUAAUUUUAUAGGCUAGGGAGGAGUCUGGUACAGGACAGAACUAGUGUACUAAUUGUUGAAAAUGUUGUCAUCCUCUUGCCAUAAAAGGUACAGAGCACACAAAGACAGUGGGUUGGUGACAGAUAUAUGGAAGCGUAAUGUAGCAACAGCACUGGAAAGUUGUGAGCCUGAGACUAAACCAAGGAGUGCCAGGAGGCUUUACCUGCGUCAGACCCAUGGUUUGUAAUAGAAUGGAUUUCACUGGCUAGUUGUACAGUUUCUCCCUUGUCAGUGGGGAUCGUGUGGCCAUUACUGCAGUAAUGAAAAACUGUUCUUAACAGAUCUAUGAUUAGAAGUUUUUGAUCUAGAGUGUGUUUCUCACAACUUGAACCACUCUGUCAGCUGUUAGGAAAGCAAGGCUGCCAAGAGUGCUCAUUCCAGAGGUUCUUGUAGUAUGUCAAAGAAAAUCUUUUGGUACAGGUGUUGAAGGAGCCAUUGAGAAGAGAGGUGUUGCUGGAGCUUGCUCUCCCUGUUGUAGAAGGACUCUUUGGGGACAGGAAGACCAGUGGUGGCCUCAAGUGUGGCAGGUGUGAGCUGCAGUGUUCAGUGUGGAAGAUAUGAAGCAAUGAGUAGAACUGAAACACUGAACUUUAAGGGAGCCAACUUUGUCUUAAAGGAUCUAUGUGAAGGUACACCUGGGGUUAGAGCAUUGGAGGGGGUCCUGUGAGCAAUUGUUGAUGCUGGAGUGUUACUUCCAUGCUCAGGAGCUGUGCAUCCCAAACAGUGAAGAACUGAGCAGGAAUGGCAGGAGACCUGCAGGGGUGAAUGAGAACUCAUGGUUUAACUUGAAGGGGAGAAAGAAGAGAAGGAUUGUGGAAGGCUAAGGCCCUCUCAGUAUCACCUUUAGGAGGGAGGUCAAGACUAACAAAAGUUUGUCAACAGAGAAAAGGUGACUAGAGAAUGUGUGGGCCUCUGCUUUGCAAGGUGGAGAUUCUGGUAAUGGGGAUGCAUUUCUGUACUGAAUGCCUUUUUGUCUUCAGUUGUUGCUGCUGAGACUGCUUGUUGGGAACCCUGGAUUCUGGAGGAGCUGGUCAAAGGAAAGGUGCCUGAAGACUGGAGGAUAGCUGAUGGCCCUGCAGGCUUCAGAGAUGGUGAGAAGCAUGGCCUCAUCUCUGGGAAGGUGAUGUGACAACUUGUUCCAGGGUGAGGACUAGUUGGAGUAUGUGAGUGAUGGAUCUGCAGAUAUGAACCCUCACACUGGAGGAUGGAGCUGGUUCACAGCUCUUCCUGCAUGUUAAUGGCUGGAAUGAGGAUUCCAGUGAAGCAUGGCCUGGAAGGAAUGGAGUGAAGUGAGAGCAGCCCUUCUGUGCUGGAGUGUGGGGAUCUGAUGGAUCUCUCUGCUGAUCUGGUGGAGGAGCAGAGGAUGUUGUGGUGUGCCUGGCUGGUUUUGUUGCUUAAAAGAGUAAGAAUGCAGACUAGAUUGGAAGGGGCCUACAACUUGUAGCUGUGCAUGAGCCCACCUGAACUUCAAAUGCUAUCUCUAAAAGCAGUGCCCAAAUGCUUCUCCAAGUCCAUCAGCCUGGGCCUGUGACUGCUGCCCUGAGGAGCUUGUUCAGGUACCCAGCCACCCUCUGGUGAAGGAACUUGUUGUAAUUUUCACUGUGGCUUAGUACAUAUCCAAGUCCCUUGCCCUAGUCAGUUGUAGAAAAACUGAAGAGAGCAGUGGGAUGUCACUGGAACACCCAGGAACAGCUUAAAAGCAACAGAAGAUAGAACAAUUACUGAAUCAGCCUGCCUUAACUGAAGUUGAUGCAACCCUUUAACAGUGGAAUGUAGUCUUCAGUCAAUAGUAAAUCUAUAGCUAAGAGUAAAGAUUUAAUUGCUAUGCACCCAGUCAUUUCACUAUUCAUGUUUUAUGCCUUGUAACAGUAUGUGUGUUUUCUAACAUUAAUAGUCUGAAUGGCUGAGCAAGAACCACUUGGAGCAAUAAAGCCUAAAACAGUGAAAAAACUUUCAUUGAUUCAUAAUGUAUUUCUUGGCAGGGUGCACAUUCAGAAGAGAGCUUCCAACAUGUGUCUUUCCUUAAAAACAGCAGUAUGAACUGUCACUUUAGCUGGAGGCCUGGGCUGCACAAGUGUGUUCCUCCAUCAGCCAGGGAAAGAAAGGAGUUUGUUUGUUUUUUUUUGUUGUUGUUUUUAUGACAAAUCAUAUAUAAAGCCCUAAUUCUUAAUUCA